AAUGGACGCAAGUCUGAACCAGCCAUGCCGCGUGCAGGAUGACGGCCCUAUGGGUUGUAAACUGCUUUUAUACGGGAAAAAACCCUUGCUCGUGAGCGAGGUUGAUGGUACUGUAAGAAUAAGGAUCGGCUAACUCCGUGCCAGCAGCCGCGGUAAUACGGAGGAUCCAAGCGUUAUCCGGAUUUAUUGGGUUUAAAGGGUGCGUAGGCGGGAUAAUAAGUCAGUGGUGAAAGCUCACAGCUUAACUGUGGAACUGCCAUUGAUACUGUUAACCUUGAGUGUGUUUGAAGUGGGCGGAAUGUGCAGUGUAGCGGUGAAAUGCUUAGAUAUUGCACAGAACACCAAUUGCGAAGGCAGCUCACUAAACCAUAACUGACGCUGAGGCACGAAAGUGUGGGGAUCAAA
rnacentral:rRNA from 1 species